AUUGAACGCUGGCGGCAGGCCUAACACAUGCAAGUCGAGCGGAUGAAGGGAGCUUGCUCCUGGAUUCAGCGGCGGACGGGUGAGUAAUGCCUAGGAAUCUGCCUGGUAGUGGGGGAUAACGUCCGGAAACGGGCGCUAAUACCGCAUACGUCCUGAGGGAGAAAGUGGGGGAUCUUCGGACCUCACGCUAUCAGAUGAGCCUAGGUCGGAUUAGCUAGUUGGUGGGGUAAAGGCCUACCAAGGCGACGAUCCGUAACUGGUCUGAGAGGAUGAUCAGUCACACUGGAACUGAGACACGGUCCAGACUCCUACGGGAGGCAGCAGUGGGGAAUAUUGGACAAUGGGCGAAAGCCUGAUCCAGCCAUGCCGCGUGUGUGAAGAAGGUCUUCGGAUUGUAAAGCACUUUAAGUUGGGAGGAAGGGCAGCAAGUUAAUACCUUGCUGUUUUGACGUUACCAACAGAAUAAGCACCGGCUAACUUCGU
rnacentral:rRNA from 1 species